rnacentral:rRNA from 1 species
AGAGUUUGAUCCUGGCUCAGAUUGAACGCUGGCGGCAUGCCUUACACAUGCAAGUCGAACGGCAGCACGGGAGCAAUCCUGGUGGCGAGUGGCGAACGGGUGAGUAAUAUAUCGGAACGUGCCCAGUCGUGGGGGAUAACGUAGCGAAAGCUACGCUAAUACCGCAUACGAUCUACGGAUGAAAGCGGGGGACUCGUAAGGGCCUCGCGCGAUUGGAGCGGCCGAUAUCAGAUUAGGUUGUUGGUGAGGUAAAAGCUCACCAAGCCUGCGAUCUGUAGCUGGUCUGAGAGGACGACCAGCCACACUGGAACUGAGACACGGUCCAGACUCCUACGGGAGGCAGCAGUGGGGAAUUUUGGACAAUGGACGCAAGUCUGAUCCAGCAAUGCCGCGUGCAGGACGAAGGCCUUCGGGUUGUAAACUGCUUUUGUACGGAACGAAACGGUCUGCUUUAAUACAGCGGGCUAAUGACGGUACCGUAAGAAUAGCCCGG